rnacentral:misc_RNA from 1 species
GUGUUCUUGCAUUCCAUUCAUACUAGAGGAAAAAAAAAAAUUAAUGCAUUACUUUUUUGGCUAAUUGCUCACUUUACAAGACAAUUCUUAAGUUGAUCGUAAUUCAUUGCUAUGCAUUAUAGUUAAAUGCAUAAGUGGUUGAAUUCUUGAUGUAUUUGCUAAUCUUGAGAUGAAGUUUGGUUGAGUGGUGGUGUUGCAUUAUCAAAGCAAUGGUAAAUCAUGCAUGUUUCCAAUCGAAAUAAUAAUACAAUAUGAUUUCCAGAACUGGGGAAGUAUCUGUUCUCACCUGCCUCAUCUCAAU